GACAGAGGUGCCAAGCGUUAGGCGGAAUCACUGGGCUUAAAGCGUGUGUAGGCGGAUGUCUAAGUACCUUGUGAAAUCCCACGGCUCAACCGUGGAACUGCUUGGUAUACUGGACGUCUUGAGCCAGCUAGGGGCUACCGGAACAAAUGGUGGAGCGGUGAAAUGCGUAGAUAUCAUUGGAUGACGCCAAUGGUGAAAACAGGUAGCUGGGGCUGUGCUGACGCUGAGACACGAAAGCCAGGGGAGCGAACGGG
rnacentral:rRNA from 1 species